rnacentral:pre_miRNA from 1 species
CUUGUACUCCCUCCGUCCGAAAAUACUUGUCAUUGGAAUGGAUGUAUCUAGAUGUAUUUUAGUUCUAGACACAUCCAUUUUGAUGGCAAGUAAUUCCGGACGGAGGGAGUACUUG